CCUGUCCUGCCCUCCAGGCUCCUGGACUUCCCAUGAACUCACACUGCUGAUUUCCGGCCUCACAAACGCUCCCUUCCCCAGACCAUGGGGCCAGGGCUAAGCCCACAGGAAGGCUGGGCCAUGUCCCCCGCACCCAGGUCCCUGAGGGGCUGAGGCCUGGGCCCCCCAAGGCAGAGGCAAAGGGGCCACAGCUGGGUCCCUGCCUCCCUGGGACGGAGCCAGCAGGCUGGGGCAGGAGUCAGCUGGAGCUCUAAGCCACCCCGGUCCUCUUGAGCGCUGUGGCUGCGUCCUAGGCACUGGCGUCCCAACUGGAGAGAAUCUGGAGUCAGCGCAGGCCUCAGUCCUCCCUCCUCACUCCCAGCUGGCCACCAGCUCAAGAGAAGCUUCUGUAACCCCAAGAACUGUCGCCUGCCCAGAGCAGGUGAGGAAAUGCUCUGAGUCAGGGCGUUUCAGGCUAGCUGUGAGGGCACAAAGGAAGCUGUUUCUCCGAGCUUGGCACUGAGGAGUCAUAGCCAUGCUGGUAAAUGAGAGCCCAGGGCAGCAGUGGCAGGAGUUGAGUGUUUCCAAACCAUACUGCCGCAUGCCACACAACUAUGGACAAGCUGUGUCCACCUUCUGGGCCUCAAUUUCCCAUCUCUGAAGUCAAGCUGCUGUCAGCAAGGCGGGAGAGAACAGGGUGGGAACAUACCCCGACUUUGUGCCCACCCCAGCCGCAGAUUCCCCCGACCUGAAGCAGAUUCGGCUCUGGUGGAGGAGGAAAAGGGACACACAUAUAAAAAAGGAAACACUGCAAGGGAGAGAAAAGAAAAGGAGAGGAGCCCAGCAGAUCCUCCAGCCCCUGCCGCCAUCUGUGCCACAAGCCCUGGGGUCCCUCACGUCGGUCAACCCCGAGACAAUGCUGGAGGCAGAUUCCAGGCAGUUUUUUAUUCACGGCUCUUUGAGGGGUCUCCGCUCCAUAUGCGUUCAGCCCACCGCUGUGGUAAAGCCUGCGGCUCCCAGGAUUGACAUGGUAAUGAAGCCCUGCAGCAGCCGCCCUAGGUCUGCCCUGUGCACAGCAUCUUGCCUGCCAGCGCUGGGCCUGUUUGUCCCUGGCCCAAGCCUCCCUUUGUACCCCACAGCGGCUUUGCCCAGAAACCAAAGUGCCCGGAUGCUGCAUUCCAGGAAGUUGAGUUUGAUCAUUUUCAGGCACUGACAGUGGGCCUCAGAGCUAAGCAACUUCAUGCACUUGCUGUUGGGAAACCUUGUUAGCCAAAGAGGAAAGCCAGCCCCCCGGAAAAGUGAGGCGCAGGAGGAAGGCAGUGGGAAGAGAGGGAAAUUUGGCUAAUGAAUUUUCCUCGGACUCUACCAAAAGGCAUUUGCUCAAGUAAUUAGUGUAUGUGAACUUUAUUUAAAUAGGAUCCUGUCAAUGAAAGGUUUCUACAGGGAAGCAGUGAAACCUGGGAGGGUUUACAGAAGGGCGCUGCCAUCUUUAGCAAAUAUGCACUCUGCCACAUCCAAUGAUUUCAUUUAAUUUGAUUUGACAUUUAUGAGCCUUGCUGGGGCAAGAUGGGUAUUUCUGUACUCUCUUUGCUGUAACCUCACCUGACUGCACACAGCCCGGAAGAAUAAAUGUCACAGGCAUCAUGCUGCAGAGCCAGGGACUAUCCUGGGGAGGUGCAGCUUGGCUGGAAGGUGCAAGUGGACCCAUGCAGUGGGGGCUCUUGCGAGCUUCCACAGGCAGGCCCACCUGGGGCUCAGCAUGUUUUGUUUGGUUUUCUCACAGCCAGAAUGAAUUAGGGAAAAUAAAAUGUCCUUGACCACCUAUGAGAGCAACUUUUCCAGGCAGGGGUCCAGGAAGUCAUUUCAUUGUAAGAGAAUAGAGAGACAAGGUCUCUGUGAACAUCAAAGGCAAGAAUGACCCCCACUGCAGAACUCUCAAGCAUGCAGAGCAGGGCCUUGGAAAGGUGGUUGACUGGAACUGGCUGUAGGAGGUGACCCUGGGGUGAGACCUGGAGGGGUGUAGUCUGGUCCGCUC
rnacentral:lncRNA from 1 species